UUCAAGUCUGAAACUUUGUAUGUGCAGAGUUUGAUCCCUUUCCUAGGCCCUCAGGAAUCUUUAUGGGAAAACCUUUUUGACCCCUACCCAAAGACAUAGUUCAUAGCCGGUAUUUAUCAAAACACCAUGUCUUUGACCGCUGAUCGUCUCCAAAUCAAAGUCCAGUUGGGAGGAGGAACUGGGUGUGGAGCUGAUAGGGGACAGGUGGGAAGUGGCAGUGGACAGGGUGAACUCUUCGUCAUCCUGUGCUUGACUCAGUCUGAUUUGGCUAAAGUUGGUGCACAGAGCACAUUACAGUAAAGCUAGAUUACAACCUUGACUCCCAUUUGCAAUCGUUGCUUCCUGCCCAAAGCUUGGGAUAUAUUGGUCUUUGAUGUAUUUACAACAUUGCUAGGGGUGGGCGGGGAAACAAAA